ACACUCAAAGUCUCAUAAUUCGC
rnacentral:siRNA from 1 species